rnacentral:lncRNA from 1 species
CUCAUGACUUUGUGCCUCAGUUUCUACUUCUAUAAAAUGAAGGGGCUGCCAUGAGUCAUUGAGUCUGACGUGAGCCCUCUGUCAGCUCCCCUUCCUUCAUGCAGAGCCGCUGUCUUCAGGCUUCCAUCUGAAAGGGUCCCAGGAUGGCCAGAUUACUCCGUGUAGGUGUCUGCUGUAUCUGAGUGAUAAAAGUCAGUAUUUCAGACCCUGCAUUAUUCCGCAGCUGAGCCCUGAGGGUGAUUCGGGCAGAGACCACAGAACCAGGGACCGGGAGCUCAGUGUCAUUUCCCCUCCGAUCAGUCACAGGCUGAGUAAAGACAACUCAGCAGAUGGAUGAGCAGACCCCCUACGGCUCCCAGCAUCCCAAGGAGGGCCCUGCUGAGAAGGUUGAGAUAGCCGGGGAACCGAGUCGGUCCUUCCUGCCGGCCUCCGCCAAGGGGAGGAGAGCCCUGGCUGGAAGGGGGCCCUGCCAUCCCCUAAAGUCACCGGUGUCUAAUGCCAAUGCUCUUGGACAGCCUUUGGCCACCAACAGAGAGAGGGGCGCUGCAGGGAGAUGAUGUCUUUGGCCUCAAAAUCUGCCUCUGUUGGGUGGAGCGGUCACCUCCAGGACGUCAGAGGCACCUGGAAGUCCUGCCAUCUGGGCUUAAAACACAUCCAUUCAGGGGCCAGGCAUUUGCACUGUCCAUACCAGCUGGUGACCUGCGUUCUGCUGCCCCCUCCCCAAGCUCCAUCUGUGACCUGGUGCUGUGGGGGGAGCUGGUCCCAUCCUCCCCUGAACUAAGGGAAUCCUGAGCCUGCCCAAGAAACGUGGCUGGGACUGGGCAGCCUGAUGGGGGCUGCUGAUCAAGACGGGCCCCUGCUUCACUUGUGUCUGAGCGGAACCUUCCCAACAUGGCGGAGGAGUGAACGUGAGAGAGCAUGGCCUUCCUAAACCUGCAACGUCCCCGGGGGUGCGUGGCAGUCUUUGUGUGGUGACAGUCCUCCUUGGGGGGUCAGGGCGCUUGGAGCUCAGCAGGAUUGCCAAGGACAGAGAGGGGCCUUGGCCUUGCGAUCCCAUGGCCUCCUGGGAGCUUUGGGAGGUGCGCUUCCCUAGCAUCUUGUCCUUAGUGGUGGGACUUGUAUGAGAUAGGUGAAGAACUCACAGUCCGGGUAUGUAACUGUUAGCUCAAUUAGCUGAAGCCUGGAGGUCUCAGUCAUGUGAUGUUAGAUAAGGACUGAUGUAUAAAAAUUGUACAAGGGGCUCAGGGGAGCGGCCCUCCUGCUGUGAGCAUUUCUGUUGUCCUUUCUGCUGGCAGUGGGAAUGUCCGCUUCUUAUGAGAUUCUAAUACAUUUUCUGCACCCUACUUGGAGCGACUCCUGAGUAGUCAAUUUGGGUAGGGGUCUUCGCUGUCCCACACAGACUGCAGAUCAGACUAGAGAGGGUCAGGGCUGUCCUUGUGUCUCCCCAUAGGCCAGCUCCUUCUCUGCCUAUAAAUGGUGUUCUGCUGUCUGGCACCCCUGUUCUGCCCCCCCCAGUCCCCUUUCUCUUCUGCCUGCAGCGCCAAACCUCUGACAGGACGUAUCUAGACCCCCACCGCCUCAGCUUCCCCACCCGCCCCUCAGUCCCCA